GAGUUUGAUCCCUGGCUCAGGACGAACGCUGGCGGCGUGCUUAACACAUGCAAGUCGAACGAUGAACCUCCUUCGGGAGGGGAUUAGUGGCGAACGGGUGAGUAACACGUGGGCAAUCUGCCCUGCACUCUGGGACAAGCCCUGGAAACGGGGUCUAAUACCGGAUACUGAUCAUCUUGGGCAUCCUUGGUGAUCGAAAGCUCCGGCGGUGCAGGAUGAGCCCGCGGCCUAUCAGCUUGUUGGUGAGGUAAUGGCUCACCAAGGCGACGACGGGUAGCCGGCCUGAGAGGGCGACCGGCCACACUGGGACUGAGACACGGCCCAGACUCCUACGGGAGGCAGCAGUGGGGAAUAUUGCACAAUGGGCGAAAGCCUGAUGCAGCGACGCCGCGUGAGGGAUGACGGCCUUCGGGUUGUAAACCUCUUUCAGCAGGGAAGAAGCGAAAGUGACGGUACCUGCAGAAGAAGCGCCGGCUAACUACGUGCCAGCAGCCGCGGUAAUACGUAGGGCGCGAGCGUUGUCCGGAAUUAUUGGGCGUAAAGAGCUCGUAGGCGGCUUGUCGCGUCGGUUGUGAAAGCCCGGGGCUUAACCCCGGGUCUGCAGUCGAUACGGGCAGGCUAGAGUUCGGUAGGGGAGAUCGGAAUUCCUGGUGUAGCGGUGAAAUGCGCAGAUAUCAGGAGGAACACCGGUGGCGAAGGCGGAUCUCUGGGCCGAUACUGACGCUGAGAGCGUAUUGUCUUUAUCU
rnacentral:rRNA from 1 species